GGGAGAGGAGGGAAAGGUCUCCAAGCAAUGACACGCUAGGAAUGAGUGCUUCCUCUGAAUCACCUGAGAGUUCAUUUUCUGUUUCGAAGGAUCAGUUUCAGGCAGCUGACAGUGAAACAACUUCAUCUUCUGAUGAGGAUGAUUGUGACAGUGCAUUAAAAGAUCAUGGUAUUUUUUAGAGUGAGAUGCAAUCUCGUCUAACAAAGUUGCAGGUUGUACGGCGCUUCUGGGAUAGGAAUGACAUAAAAGGAGCAAUCUUUACCAUGGAGAAGAUGUCUGAUUACUCUGUGCAUGCAGAUGUAAUAAGUGUACUAAUGGAGAAAUUUGAUGCAGUUACACUGGACAUUUGCGCUUGCAUGUU